GAGAGCUUAGUUGUAACGUUAACAUAAACAAGUGGCUGCUUUUCUCUUCGGGUUCCAGUAAUAACUGGCUUCAUUUACCUCACAAAAUUCAAUCGCUUGAUGCUCAGAUUCUCAGAACAAAAGAAAAGCAAGGAGUGACAGAGAAAUAUACAAUUCUCAAGGGUUUAAGAGAUAUCAGCUUUUCGACCUUGAAAUGUUGGCUUUAUUCACGGAUAAUGACAUGAAAUGGUCUGAUCGGAAGAGGUGAUUGGGAAAACAAAUCCGGGAAAAUUUGAGAUGAAUGUGGAGAUAAUGAGCUAUUACCACCAGAAAGCAGAUGCUGUGGAUUGAAAUUAUAAUUGUUGAUUUCAGAUCUUGAGGCAUAGAGUGAAGCUAAUCUCAGUACUACUGUCAAAAGAGGAACUACCUGGAGGAGAGAUAUUAUGAAGCAGUUUUGAGCAUACAAAUGGGAUCCCUCAUUGGUCUCUGAUGAUAAUUCAUCUGCAUCUUUAGUUUAUGGGCACACAAGUAUACUGUCUCUCUUUUCUCUUUUGAGUGGGUUAAUCAUACUGUCAAUCAGUGGAAUCAGAACUUAACUGAAUGCAAAAGGUUUUGAGAAGGUAACAGCAGUUUAUAGAAGAGAUGGAUCCUUAGAGCUUUGGCUUUCAGUAUUCAUGGUGGACAAGUAAAAACCUCAGACAGAUCACAGAAUUAUCGAUGUUUGUCUAAAGUGCAGAUAGCUAGAAUAGCAGGGGGACAGGAAUUUGUCAAGCGGUGAACAAUUAUCUCCAGGUUAAGGUGCGAAAACAAAUCCACUUGUGAAGAAAGACUUUUAUACUCACUUCAGGUUAAAAGGAUAAAGGUCACCUAUGGACUAGAGCCGACCAGAGAGGAUCUUUUUCAAGCUUGGAAGGUGAUAUUUCAGUCACACGGUGAAAGCCGGAACCCUGGUACUUCUACUGUCAAUUAAAGCAUGAUGAGCUGGAAAACAUUAAGAUUGCUAAAACCUCAGAAUGAUGCACAUCGAGUAUAAUAGGUACUGCGUAUAUGAUACUUAAAAUUCCAGUUACAUUAUACUCAAACUAGGAAAAGGUAUAUAACAGUAUAGAAAGACUGAACUGCUUAAACCAUCUUAUACAGAUGCCUUGAAAAAGAUACUAGAAACCAUCUUGUAUAAGAGAAAGAACAUUAAGAAAGCUAUAACACUAAGGACAAAUUCCAUCGGAUCUAGAAACAAAAAAGAGCUUGUUUUAUAAAGACUUAGAUGCAUCAGAAACCGUCAUAUAAACAUAUAGCUUCCAGUUGCAUAUAGGUCUUAAUAAAACCGGCUCUUUUCUGUUUCUUGAACCCAUGAAGUCCAGCAAAUUCCUUUAAGGUGCAUUGCUUCUUGGAGUGGCCCUUCUUGAGGCAGGUAGAUGGUGAAGAGCUCGGGAUAAAACUCUAUUGCACAUCCAUGGUUCUUCAAAAUCCUUG